UGCUGUGACCAAAUCACCCGGAAUGUGCCCGGAUCUCGUCAGAUCCCAGAAGCUAAGCAGGGAUUUAGGCAUGGACAGGGAUUGGAUGGGCAACUACCAUGCAUAACAGGUAAUGUAGCCU
rnacentral:rRNA from 1 species